CCGCGCGCCGCCCGCCGGCAACCCCACCCGGCGCUCGCCUGCCCCGCGCCCGCCCUCCGGGCUCCGCGAGCCCGGGGCUGGGGCUGAGGCCCACGGUUCCCGCCGGCACCCCCAGUGCCCUGAGAAGCCGAGCGCGCAAAGGGCGGUCGGGGAGGAGGAGGCCGCGGGCGAGGGGCUUCUCCACGCAGUCUCGGGGGCUGAGGCCGGGGCGCGCCCUCCCCGCACUUUCCCUGUGGGACCCCCACCGCCCUCCGAACCCUUCCCCCGGGGAGACCCCAUCUCCAGCGGCGCCGUAGGCAGGGAACGGAGUCGGGGCGCCCCGGGUCCCGGGAAAGCCCGGCGGGGUGCGGAGGGGCCCCGAUCGUCCAGGGGGCCAGCGGCACGUAUUCUGGCCGAGCCGCCUGACCCACAAACAUGAGCGGUGCGGGCGGUGGGCGCGCAGGGGCCGGGGGCCGCGGGGUCUCGGGCUUGGGACCGGUCUGGGGACGCGCAGUAGCUCCCAGUACGUAAAUCCUGAAGACCGCGGAAAAGCUGGAUCGCAGGGAACGACGCGGGGAGAGGGGCAGGUGCAGGAGCGGAGCACGAGCUGCCUAAAUAAAUGAACAAAGGGCCUUCUCCCGGAACAAAGCCACGACCAGAGAUAUCUGCAAAGAAUGGGUGGGUGUGGCGGGGAGACCUAGAGAUCGGAGUCCCUCUGUCUCAGUGUCUCUGCACAGCCCACGAGCAUUUGUUCACCCAACACGUGCUUUUCCAUCCUUGUGCUCAUUGCCUUCCUUGCCUUUGAAGUCCCACGCCAUCCACCCAAACACCGUCUUUUGUCUUCAGCUGAGAUGGCAUUUAAGGUGAGAGCUGCAGCCGUUUUGGUGAGAUACUUCCUGGGUUUCUCCCAUGUGUACACGUUACUCGACUUCUGUCUGGUGUUCUCCUGUUAAACUGACAUGUGCCAAUUUAAUUCUUAGAGCAGCUGGAUGACCCUAGACAGGGAGAGGGGAAGGUCUUCCUCCCCGACAUCAGUGAGCAGGAGCAGCUGGCACUGCUGAGCUGUGUUCUGUUUGCUGAUGGUUCCCUCUUGCUGAACUGUGAGCCCUUUCCGCUCCCCGCUUCUAUCUUUCCCUUGAUUCCGUGGUAGAACAGACCCACAGCCCCUUAGCUGCAACCAAAAUGCAAAAAGCUUUAAAAACAACCUUUUUCCCCCUGUAACUUUGGUGGUAAGAUUCAAUUUGCUGCAAAAUCUGACCUGACCUGACUGCUGCAGUCUCGUGCUCCCAGGGGUGCAGGCACCUCUGUGGGUUGCUGAUGUGUGUUUUAAAUUUUAAAAUUUAUUUCUCCUUUUGUGACUUCGGGCUCAGUUGCAUUAUUCAUGCAUGAAAAAGAGUUACACACCCCACAGCUUGCUAUGGGAGAGACACAGAAGCACUGACCCUGCCAGUAUCAGGAAGCCAGGGAUGUUGGGAUCCCACAUGAUGUAUGACUUUGGGAAUCAAAGGAAAGGCAGUUGAGGUUUUGCAGUAUUGGUGAUGUCCAAGACCCACUGAGACGUGGAAACCACUGCAGGUGGGAGGUGGGCGGGGAAGGAGAUGCUGACCGGAGUGGACCUGACGUUCGCAGUGAGGACACCAGCGGAUGCCAGGCAGCGACUUGCUGCUCAUGGGACAGCUCUGUUAUUGCAGGAAGAGCUGAUCUUUAAAGGUGAGCACGAAUAUUCAGAAGGUUGGUGGUGGAAAUGUGGGAAGGAUUGUGAUGGAGAACAAUCUAAAUGUGGUGGAAAACCUUCCCUUUGGGAAACAAUGGAAAAGCAUCCCGAUGGAUUUGCCAAGAUGGUACCGGUGCAAAAACCUAGUCUGCACCAGUCUUCAGAGCUGAGGAGGCGGGGGUCCUGUCCCGCAUUUCCGCAGAGGCAUUAGGGUGGUUGAGGAGGGUGCAGAUGGGGGUUGUUUCAGGUCACAAAGCACAGGCUGAGUCGGGGUGAAGCUGCCACAGGUGCGCGUGGUGAAUGCGUCCCUGCGUCCCCUUAUGCAAACGAGCACGCACUGGAUACCCAAGGACUGGUUUCUGCCUGAUUGGAUAGUCCCUUUCAGUCAGCAGCGUGAAUUCACUGCAGGUAAGCUGGGCCCAGGGACAACUAACGUUUCGUUAUUUCUGCCCGGCGGCACCGCACGGCUCCUUCCCGAGUGUCUUCUGAAAGGGCUGUUUCUGACGUUUACUUUGCCCUGACUUGUGAGAGGAGUUUACACCCCGUGAAGAGUGAAAACGAACGCCUUUCUGAGGUGGAGCGGGGGAGGGGGCGGCAUGGGAGGAUGCUUCCUGCUGCUGACUUAGGUCCAGGGCUUCUGGAAUAAACUCGCCCAAGAGACGGCCGUUUCCCCAGUCGCUGGUGCUUGGGCAGUGGGGGCGGGGGGCUCCCUAACACAGGCGUGGGCAGGCGUGCGCAGGACAUGGCGCUCAAAUGGGCUGGAGAGGAGACCCGCCCGCAGGAGGGAGGAAGUUGAUAGCAAACUUCAUUAUAUAUAUAUAUUUUUAAUUCUUAUGUUUUAUGGAAGUGUAGUUGAUUUACAGUGUUAAUUUCAAGUGUACAGCAAAGUGAUUCAGUUUUUUAUAUAUAUAUAUUAGAUUAUUUUCCACUACAGAAAAGAAAUUGAAUAUAGUUCCCUGUGCUAUACAGUAGUAGGUCCUUGUUGUUUAUCUGCUUUACGUGAAGCAGUGUGUACCUGUUAAUCCAAACUGCUAAUCUGUCCCGAUCCCCUUCCUGCCUGGUAACCGCAGUUUGUUUUUCUAUGUCCGUGAGUCUAUUUCUGGGCAGACUUCAUUUACCCCAGAAGUUCAUCAACCGAAAGUGUAAGGUGAAAAGGACGUGGAGGAGAUGCUGGGCAGGGAACGGGGGCUGGUCUCAUUACUUCCUUGAGGGACGGAGGAAUCCCGGUAAUGGACCGAACACAGAGGAGGAGGAGUGGGGAUGACGGGGGAGCCCCCGUGGAAACUGGGGGAGCCCCUGUGGACUACCAGGUCAUAAUGUAUGACCUGCCAGUUGCUGGCUUCAACGCUGACCAGCCAGCAGGCACUCACCCAGCUGAAGAGACAGCUUAGUUCUGAGCUGGUGACCUGGGAGACGUGCCAGGAAGCACCGUCUCUGGGGUGCUGCAUCGUGGCUCGGGACAACCAUCCUCCAGCGCCCACCUCCAGCCUGGUGACCGGAGUCACACGACAAUGCUGGGCCUCCCCCCAGAGCCACUGCAGCCAGGUGUGGAGACGACUCACGGCACUGACACGUCCAGGCAUUAAGCUUCGCUCGAACUGGUGUGUGUUUGAAGCUUUGUAACGUUUUCCUUGGGAAUAAGAAGGACUAGAAAACGUGCCACCUGUGGUGACCUCAGCAUCUCGGGAACUGCUUUAUUACUGCAUAGAUCAGCUGGGAGCAGGCUGCAACACUGUGUGUGGGGUGUUUGCCCCCUGAGUAGGGUGGACUUGGCUGCAGAAGUGCUGGUGUGCUUGAGGUUGGGGUCCCACCCCAGGCCCUGACGGAGGUUAAACAAUAUAUAGUAUGUGCUUUUAUUCACUUGUAUGUUUGUCUUUUUUAGCUCUGAAUGCUUUGAAUUCCAAAGCACAGCUGGCCCUGGAUGACUCAGACCUGGAGCUCAGCCAGAGGAUUCCAGGAAAUGCUUGUGAGCGAUUGAGAAGUGGUCUGGCACCCUCGCAUGGGCCUCAGUCACCUAUGUAGAUGGUCCCUGGCCUGGGGCUGUGGAGGGCAUGCGCGGUGGGUGUCUGUGUGACGGCCGACCAUGCGGACGGGCCUGGGGGCGUGGGCUCGUGAUGGCUCUCAGUCUGCUACUCCCACCAUCAAGGCCUCCCUUCUUCGCUGCUCUGGGCUUUGCGAAUGGUUCUGCUUCGCGGCCGAGUGGUGUUGAGCCCCGUCUGUACAGGCACCACAGGAAACGAACCUCCCAUGUGAAAGGUGCCCCCCCCCCGCCUCUUCAUGCAGAAGGACACCCUGUCGCCAGAGACGGGCACUCCGGGCCGAGAAGCCCAGGUGAACCACCGCCUUCAAAUACACACGACUGCAGAGAAAACAGAUGAACAGCAAGGGCCUCCCGUACAGCACAGGGAACAGUAUUCAGUUUCUUGUAAUGAGCUGCCAUGGAGAAGAAAUUGAACAAAAAAUACAUGUAUCUGUAUAACUGAAUUGCUUUGCUGUGUCCCUGAAACUAAGAUUGUAAAUCAGCCACACUUCAAUAAAAAAUAAGAGUUA